GAGAGCCAGAGAGCAGCGAUUGGUCAGACCAUAGAUAAUAUAGAAGACAGCGCGCUAGCGGAGCUAGUCUAUAUAUAUCUAUGGUCGGCACGUUUGGUAGCAUCUCUGGCUGUUGUUGACCUUGUUUUUGGAGUAAAACACGGUAGAAGCUGAAUUAGUGAGGAUGACUCCUGCUCCUGUCAUCUCUAAACUCCUCCCACAUCUUUACCUGCACAUGAGGAAAAUCACUCCUGUAGAAUGCAGUGGUUCAUCAGAACCUCUGGGGAUGUCCUGUGGAUUCUGUGGAUCCUGUGGGUUGCAGGGUGGGUCCUACCUAGACCAGGCUGAUCCUGGACCAUCCCACAGAUGCUCCAUCAGAUGUGGAUGUGGGGAGUGUGGAACCCAGAUGUUCAGAGGGAGAUGAUGCCACAUCUGGUCCAGCUGAUGGAAGGUCUUGAAGUUCUCUGACUGGCCUCGACUGAAGAUGGUCGUCUCACUGGAUUUAAGAGAUGCACAAUGAGGGACGUCUGCAGAGACUGAGAAAGAGUCUCACCACAUCCUGACAUGAGGAAAAAGACUUUAUUGAAGACUACAAUGAGAAAAACUAUCAGACAGCAGACGGCUGCAUUCAAGGUGAGCUCUGAACAUUUAAUCUGGAACAGGAAUUCAAUAACGGCAGCAUGAGCUUCAUUUCAGUCUGUAGCUGCUGAAUUCAUGGAUGAAUCAUCUGGCACUAGAGAAGACCAUCAAACAUCCACGUCAGCUGAUGGAGGUCCAAGAGUCUCACCAAACAAACAACCUACAGAGUGAAGACCUCAGCUCUGAUUGGACGGCCUCCUAUUCAGCCACGUGUGUGAACAAAUGCCUCUAAGCUGAUUUGUUUUCUAAAAUAAAUCUAGUUUGAGUCCUAAUCUAUGCCUGUGUGUUUGCUUCUUUACACGGCUGUUAACAGUUUAGGCUGUUAGAUUGUUCCAGAUAAGACAAGUACAAGAUUCUUCAGAGCCGUUCUACCACGAGCCUGACAGGAAGAACUCCAACAGCUACUGAAUGUUCCUGUGGUCCCCUCAAGGCUACAGGAGGAGCCCUACGAGGACGAGCCGGUCCACCUGAUGGAGGCCAGUCGCUGUGGUUCAAAGCCAACACCGACUACGUGGAAUUUUCACUAAGCCAGCCCUCUGGACUCCCAGUAAGCUGUGUUCCUAUUGGCUGUCCAGGUGGCUGCUUGGUGUUAUCAGGAACACCUGAGCAGCUCAGUGUCUUCCUGCUUUAUUUAGCUGCAGACAAACAUUUCCUCUGUUUCUCUUCACCACAGAACCGGGUUUGGCUCCGUUGCUUCAGUUUGUUCUUUAGGCGUUGGCUUGCAGCUUCCAGCAGUAAAAUUGUUUUUAAUGUGUUUCUUGGUGUGUUUUAGGGCUUUGUACUGGAUAGUUGUCUUGGUAAAUGUGGUUCUUUAGCCACAGUUAGCACAUGGUGCUAAUAUGUGCAGUGAUUAGUGGAUUUGGUGCAGCUGAGUUGUGUCUUUAUCUUGGCUGUAGUGAGUCUUUAGAGGUUUUUGGUCAGACACAUUCUGUAUUCUGGUUUGAGAACCAACGUUGGUUGUCCAGAAGGUAAGAGUUCUUGUCCUGAUUCUCUGUUCUCAGAGGUUCUCUGGUAGGCUGCAGGAGACUUUAGCGUUUGGGUUGUGCUAGUUUGGUUUUUGUAUGGUUUCAUUUGGACGACUAUCUUGAGGCUCCUCCAUGUGGUUUAGUGAGGUUUUCUGGAACAGUUCUACAAAGCAACCUGCAGUAGAAGAGACUUUUGAGAGUUUUUAGGAAGUUCUGGAGACCAGACUUUAGAGCAGCAGAAACAUUUGUCAGCAGUUUGAGCAGGAGAAGGUGAGCUUCAGAGUAGAAAUGAGACAGAAACCUUCUUGAUCUGUGUGGUGAGGUCCUGUACCAAGAGUUUGAGCAGGUUGUGAAGAGUCUGUAGUUCUUUGGUCUGAAAGCACAAGAAGAGUCGACUCAUUAAAGGAGAAAACAGGAGAUGUUGUUGGUUCUUCUGUCGCUCUGCAGUUUCCUUAGACUGAAUAUCAAGUUUAUAUUUUAAAUGAUUUCCCAUGUGAGCCCAAGAAGACUUCAAUAAACUCUCUCCAUCCCCUGGACACAUUUUAUUAUAUUGUUAAAUCUUUUUUUUUUUUUUUUUUUUUUUUUUUUUUUUUAAUGUUUUUGAGCAUUAAUCAUAGUUUUAGCUUUCUCCGAGUGUCCCUGGUCCCAGAGCUGGAUGCUUCAGAUGUGUGGCUGUGUUUUAUGGUCCUUGUGUCCCACCCCCCACCUCUCUAUCUCUACACCUCUAUCUCUACCCCUCUACCUCUAUCUCUACCACUCUACCUCUUCUGUCCCUCUCAACCCGCCCGGCCAGCAGGCAGAUGGGUCCCCCCACAUUAGAGCCGGGUUCUGCUCGAGGUUUUUUUCCCUGUUAAAAGGGUGUUUUCUUUGCCACUGUCGCCUUUUGGCUUGCUCUGGAGGUCAGGCAUAUGGGUUCUGUAAAGCAUCUCAAGACAAUUUGACUGUAAUUGGCGCCAUAUAAAUAAAAUUGAAUUGAAAUUGAAUUUUUUUCUCUUUGCUUGUAUAGUUUUGUCAUCUGUGUGAAAGGUGCUAA